rnacentral:rRNA from 1 species
UAGGGAAUCUUCGGCAAUGGACGGAAGUCUGACCGAGCAACGCCGCGUGAGUGAAGAAGGUUUUCGGAUCGUAAAGCUCUGUUGUAAGAGAAGAACGAGUGUGAGAGUGGAAAGUUCACACUGUGACGGUAUCUUACCAGAAAGGGACGGCUAACUACGUGCCAGCAGCCGCGGUAAUACGUAGGUCCCGAGCGUUGUCCGGAUUUAUUGGGCGUAAAGCGAGCGCAGGCGGUUAGAUAAGUCUGAAGUUAAAGGCUGUGGCUUAACCAUAGUAGGCUUUGGAAACUGUUUAACUUGAGUGCAAGAGGGGAGAGUGGAAUUCCAUGUGUAGCGGUGAAAUGCGUAGAUAUAUGGAGGAACACCGGUGGCGAAAGCGGCUCUCUGGCUUGUAACUGACGCUGAGGCUCGAAAGCGUGGGGAGCAAACAGGAUUAGAUACCCUGGUAGUCCACGCUGUAAACGAUGAGUGCUAGGUGUUAGACCCUUUCCGGGGUUUAGUGCCGUAGCUAACGCAUUAACACUCCGCCUGGGGAGUACGACCGCAAGUG